AACUUUGAUAUAUUUUGGUAAUACAAAUUUGCGUGGCAAAUUUGAUUUUGUGUACGUAUAUUACUAUUUUAUCAUGUUUCGGAUGAUUCAUGUUCCUGGAGAGGUGUCACGAGAAGAAAAAAAGAAAGCUAAAGAAGCAGUAAUAGAAAACGUCGCCGCUUUCUUUAUUUGGGUUGUUUUUAUAAGAGGGCUUCGGUAUGUCUUGAGGCGGUUCUGACUGCUGAUCGGAAGUGAAACGCAAUGAAGUAAAAUACCAAACAAAAGAUGGCAUUGAAAAGUUCCUGUAUUUGUCUGUAGCAGUCAACUAAUAAAAUGUGAAACGGUGUAUUUAACACAAAACUUGUAUUCAUAUGUUUUAUUUGUAAUUCUUAGUCUUUUCGAAGUUGAGUGGGUAGUCAUAAUAUUUCUGUAAGAUUAAAUUUUAUUUCACUUUCAUAGGUUGCAUUAAAUCAUACUAUUCAAAGUAUCAGUUUCAUCGAAGUUAAUGAAGAAAUUGCCAGCAGUGCAAUAGACAUACUCAGGUUGUGACUAUCUGUAAGACGUUUUAUUAAAUAAGGGAUACGGAACUUUUAUGUUCGGGAAACUAAUUGCAGUCAAGUGUAUCAGAUGACCGAAACCUCAGCAUAAUUUCCUUAUCAUGUUUAGAAGAAAAAUAGAGUUUUCGUAAGUGUUUUGUGUAAAAUAGCAGUAAACUGAAGCUGUCAUCAUAGUAAUUAAAGGAAUAUUAACUUGGA